rnacentral:rRNA from 1 species
UUGACAUCCAGAGAACUUUCCAGAGGUGGAUUGGUGCCUUCGGGAACUCUGAGACAGGUGCUGCAUGGCUGUCGUCAGCUCGUGUUGUGAAAUGUUGGGUUAAGUCCCGCAACGAGCGCAACCCUUAUCCUUUGUUGCCAGCGGUCCGGCCGGGAACUCAAAGGAGACUGCCAGUGAUAAACUGGAGGAAGGUGGGGAUGACGUCAAGUCAUCAUGGCCCUUACGAGUAGGGCUACACACGUGCUACAAUGGCGCAUACAAAGAGAAGCGACCUCGCGAGAGCAAGCGGACCUCAUAAAGUGCGUCGUAGUCCGGAUUGGAGUCCGCAACUCGACUCCAUGAAGUCGGAAUCGCUAGUAAUCGUAGAUCAGAAUGCUACGGUGAAUACGUUCCCGGGCCUUGUACACACCGCCCGUCACACCAUGGGAGUGGGUUGCAAAAGAAGUAGGUAGCUUAACCUUCGGGAGGGCGCUUACCACUUUGUGAUUCAUGACUGGGGUGAAGUCGUAACAAGGUAGGCGUAGUGCU